AGGCUGUCGCGUGCCUAUAAAAAAUAACCUAACUAGACCUUCUAACUAUGUAGUUCGGCAAGCAAGGGUCGAAUCCCUAGAGACUGAAGUAGUAAAAACUAGCUAAUCUUGACUUUAAUUAAUGCUAAGUAAUUACCAAAUCAACGAUUAAGGAUGAAUUAAUCUAUAAUGCAAAUAAUAAUAAUGAGAAUAAAUUCUAGGAUAAAAAGCACCUAGAGUUAAGUAUCCCCACUGGCACAAUUUACGCAAAGAUAAGUUUCUACCCCAAACUAAUUAAAUAAAUGUUCAUAAGGAAAGGUAAACCCUAUAAAAUACCAUAGAUCUCUCUAGAGUAUAAAUGGCUUCCCUAAUAUGCAAUCAAAACCUACUCCCGUGGAAUCAUGCAAAUUAAAAACAUUAAACUCAAUACCCUGACUUCCUAACAAUCCAUUCUACCUACUCCCGUGGAGAAUUUCAUGUCCUUAAUUGAAAUAUUCAAAUCCGUUAAAACCCAACUCCCGUUGUGAUAAAGACAAUGGAAUCAUAACAAUACUAAUUAUCCCUAAUCUAGUAUUGGAAUAUGCACAAUCAAUUAAGCAAGAGCAAUUAAAUAAUUAAUUUAGGGAAUUAAAGGAACAAAUCAUAUAUCAUUCAUGGCUAGGGUUCACUUAACCCUAGAUUAGAAAACUACUCACUCAUGAUAGUUAAAUAAACAAAAUAGAUUAUAAAAGAAAAUAUAAUUAAUAACAGCUUAAAAAGGAAAAGGAAAAUACUUGGAUUGAUAAUUGAAUGAUGAGGUCUUUGAUAAAUCUUCAAAGCACAAAGAAAAGUAACAUAAAAUAGAGAAAGAAAACAAACUAAGGAGAAAAGAAGGAAGGGGGGCUCUCCUGUCAGGUUCUUUUCACCAUCUAUCUAUAUCAUAGGAUAUCCAGGAGUUUGGCUAGAUUUUCACCCUAAAAAUUCGACUAGACAGGUGUCCAAACGCAGUUUUGCAGCUCCAGCCACGGGCAGGCCGCGAGCAGGGGGCAGAGUGGACUGUUUCUUUGCUUUAUCAUUGGCCUUGGAAGCCAAGUCGCGGAGUAGCCACGGGAUAGCUUCCCUUGCUCGUUUCACGAUAUAAGAUUCUCCUAGGCAUGAGUAUCUCUUUGACAUCUUGUUUGACCAUGAACGACUCUACAAACAUCCUCGCCAACACCUAGCAACUCGAGCCAAUCCCUACAAAAACAAAAUAAAACGAACCGGAGGAGAGAAAUAUCGAAAAUAACGAAUAAUAGCUCUAAAAGAUUAGAAAUGCGCAGAUAACAUAAAGAACAACGUAUAUAUAUAGCAUAUAAAAUGCGUAUAUUAUUGCGUUAUCAAAUUUCCCCACAUUUAACCUUUACUCGUCCUCGAGGAAACAAAAUAAAAAUAAGAAAAACUAUACUAAUAAAGCAAUAAAAUCCUAACUCACUAUCGUAGGAAUCACGAUUGCACUUAGCAUGUGCAACAAGCCCUUUAAACGCCUAGGUUCCCCUAGCGGACGAGUAAGGUCUCGUGAAGGUUUUCAAAAUGGCAUACCUACAAACCCGAAUAAUGAACAUCCAAACCAAUAAAUUCAAUCAAGUAACAAUAAUGAAAACUUAAAAUCAUUUCAGGAAAUAUGUUAAAGUCACAAAUCAACGAACAUGGAAUGAAACAGUAAGUCGAUAACACCCUUCAAUGGCCAACUAAUCUUACCGCUUCCUUUCCCUAACUCAGUCAUAUGCAUGUAGCUUCUCACUUUAGUUCUAUAAAAGAAAACAAAUUGAGUCUCUCAUGUGUUUAAAAAGGUAGCAGCAUGAUCACUCGACCUAUUUCACGUCGACACUUUUGUAGUCUUCCUCUUUAGCCUUGCCUUUCGUCUUUCUCAACUUUUUUUGGGAUGGCACAAACACUAGGGUCAUGAGUUUCUUGUACUAGGGUAGGCUUGUUUAAAAUAGGGUAAGACAACAUUAUUUGGGGAUGUAGUGCUCAAAUCCUAAUAAAAGAAAAUAAAAUUUACUCCGACCAACACAACUAUUUCCAAAUGUUAGGUUCAUUCUCCUCUUUUUUUUUUUUGGUAUAUCGGGAAACUAUGUGCUUCUUUCCGAACUUUUUCACUUAUUCUUCUCUUUUUUUUUUCUUUUUUUUUUUUGUAUAUCGGGAAAUUAUGUGCUUCUUUCUAGAACUUUUCACUUUUUUUUUUUGAAAAUAAACUAACACUUUAUUUGAGUAACAAACUUUGUAACUUUUCUUUCGUAUCAGAAUCUCCAUAUUAACAUAUAAAGCACACAUUGUAGUAGCAUAUUCCGCAAAAUCCAAACAAAACCUACAAAAGGGCUCUAAGGCAUGUAAUGUAGGGCGUCAAGAAAUGGGAUCGAAGCUCAAUAUGGUUCAACCUAGAGGGGAAUGUAAAAUAAAAAGAAAAAGGAGCGAAUAAUCCUAAUCCUAAAAUUUGAGGCUCUAACUACCUAAAGAAAUCUUUAGUCAUCCCCCCACAUGCGUGUCACAAAAUCUCGAAUAGAACCAAGGCAAUUCCAAGAAUCGUACUACAUAAGAGGAAAAUAUUUAAUCACACGUGAAAAACAGAGACUGAUUCAGAUGUGUCAGUCUAUAUGGCUCAAAUUCCUCACAAGUUACUCAAGAUACAUGCAUUAGUCGAGUCAGGGCCCGGAAGAUAAUUCUAGCCACAACCCAUUGCCAAGAAAGGAUUUACAUAUCAUUACCGAAUUAUUCAAUCCAGUGUCAAUCAACUCAUGACAAGAACUAUAGAAAAAUAUUUUUUCUUUUGAAAUUACUUGCUUCAUAAAUUGGUUUGGAAUGUUCAAAUUUUUUUUUUUUUCGUUUCUUUAUUCUUUAGCAACACCAAAAAGAAAAUAAUACAUACACUAAUACCCUCCCCCACACUUAAAUGUUGCAAAGUCCUCAGUGCAAAAGCAAAAUAUAAACAUAAGUAAAAGGGAGGGGUACUCAUAAAAUCUCACUAAAGAGGAGGGAUCGAAAACCCUUGUGACUUCAUCCAAGUAUUUAGAUUCUCCAAAGCGAAUUUGGUUGAAGUCUAGUUGAAUCGAGCAUAAAAAAUCCAGCAGAUUGUUCACGACCAGGCUGCAAUGAUUAUGGGUGCAUCGCGUCCAUCCCGUGGAGUAGACUGGUUGUCUCCUUUUUCAGGUGUGAGGUCACGGUCCGGCAGUGGCUCGAGAUAUCAGGUCGCGACCUUGCUGUGGAGUGGACUGCCUCGUGUCCUGUUUUAUUUUGAGAGCCGCGGGUUACCUGUGGUUGAGAGUAGUCGGCCGCGAGGUGGUGGUGGACUAGACUACCUUCAUUCUCCCGCUUCCCCCCUUUUUUUCUCUUCUUUUUCUGGCUAAUUUGGUGAGGGCAUGAGUACCUAUUUAAAAAAAUGAAAUGAAAGAAAUAAAACUAGAAUAAGGCUUAAGCUAAAACAAAUUAAGUAAAAGAAAAAAAAACACAACACACAAAACAAAGCAAAAUAAAAGAAGACAAAAAGUCAAAGUUUUAAGUCCUAAGAAAAUUAAUUUUGUACCAAAAUGCUUGCAUAAAACAAAAAAUUAUUUUUAUGAUUUUAUUUUUCUAAUUUAAUUUAUUUAUUUAUUUUAUAAAUGCAAAAUGUAAGUAAAUAAAGUAAAGUAUGAGUAAAAAGAAAAUUGAAAAUAAAAAUAAAAAUUAGGAAUGAGUUUGGGGUGCCUCCCAAGAGUGCUUGUUUAUAAGGUCAUAAGUUCGACCUCCUUUGCGAUUCAUUCCGAUGAAGGGUCGGAAAGUGUGAUAUCCACACUCUCGUCAAUAAGGUCACCGACUCUGUAAUGUUUCACUCUUUGACCAUUCACCUUGAAAGUACCAUUUUGUCUGUUCCAAAGCUCUAUUGAACCAUCCUGACCAUCGAGAACAAAGUUUUCCAGGAAAGGGUUUUAAUCUAGAGUUAAAAAGGAGAACUAAGUCGCCUUCCUUAAACUCUCUUCUCAAAAUCCCUUUGUCAUGCCAUCUUUUAGUCUUUUCUCCUUGUACAACUUUGAACUUUCAUAAGCAUCAAGUCGAAUCUCUUCUAGCUCAUUAAGUUGCAGGAGUCUUUUCUCACCGGCCAUUUGAAAGUCGAAAUUUAGGCUCUUGAUAGCCCAAAAUGCACAAUGAUCUAAUUCAAUAGGAAGAUGACAUGCUUUCCCAUAGACUAGUCGAUAUGGAGUGGUGCCAAUAGGGGUCUUAAAUGAAGUCCUAUAAGCCCAUAGUGCAUUGUCGAGUUUCACGGACCAAUCUUUCCUUGAAUUUGCAACCGUCUUCUCCAAGAUGGUUUUGAUCUCUCGGUUAGAAAUCUCUACUUGACCACUACUUUGUGGGUGAUAUGAAAGCCCCACUCGAUGAUGUACUUCAUACUUCUUAAGCAUCGCCUUAAAUCGAUUCUCCAAGAAAUGCUUGCCUCCAUCACUAAUCAACACUUGUGCUACACCAAAUUGAGAAAAAAUAUUCCUUUUAAAGAACUUGCUUACCAUGCGAGCAUCAUUGGUUGGAGUAGUUAUGGCUUCGACCCACUUUGAGACAUAAUCCACAGCAACCAAGAUAUACCUAUUCCCAUAAGAAGCAGGGAACAGUCCCAUGAAAUCUAUUCCCCACACAUCGAACGAUUCCACCUCGAGGAUGUUAUUAAAAGGGAUUUCAUUCCUCUUAGAGAUGUUACCAGUUCGUUGACAUCGAUCACAAGACUUAACAUGUUGAUCAACAUCCUUGAAAAGACUUUAGCCAAUAAAAACCACACUGAAGAAUCUUUGCUGCAGUCUUAUUAGUGCCAGCGUGUCCUCCACAUGGCAAAUCGUGACAAUGUGAAAUAAGGAAUGGCACCUCACUUUUUGAAAUACACCUUCUAGUCAUCCCAUCAGCACAAGAUUUGUAAAGAAAAGGGUCGUCCCAAAAAUGUCUCCUCACAUCUUUAAAGAAUUUCUUCUUUUGUUGUAAUGAAUAGCCGUGAGGAAUAGUACCACUGGCCAAGUAGUUUGCUAUAUCAACAUACCAUGUGAUUUCAUUAAUAGCUAGAGCUAGAAGUUGCUCAUCAGAAAAUGAAUCAUCGAUGGGGGAAUCCUCAUCACCUUCACCAUCAAGGACAAGUCAGGAGAGAUGAUCAGCAAUAACAUUUUCGGCUCCUUUCUUGUCCUUAAUUUCCAAGUCAAAUUCUUGUAACAACAAAAUCCACUGAAUCAAGUGAAGUUUAGCAUCUUUCUUACUCAUCAAAUACCUCAAUGUUGCGUGAUCCGUGUGAACUAUCACCUUUGAUCCAACCAGAUAGGACCGAAACUUCUCCAUUGUAUACACCACUGCCAACAAUUCCUUCUCAGCUGUGGCAUAGUUCAUCCGGGCCGAAUCAAGAGUUUUGCUCGUGUAGUGGAUGGCAUGGAGCUUGCCAUCUUUCCUCUGGCCCAACGCUGCCCCAACUGCAUAGUCCCUGGCAUCGCACAUGAUUUCAAAUGGAAGAUUCCAGUCUGGCGAUUGCAUGACUGGAGCAGAUAUAAGAGCUUGCUUUAACCUGUCAAAAGCCUCAAUACAAACAUCAGUAAAAACAAAGGAAACAUCCUUGCCUAAGAGCUUAGUUAGAGGUCAAGCAAUUUUUGAAAAGUCCUUGAUAAAACAGCGAUAAAACCCCGCAUGACCAAGAAACCUCCUUACUCCUUUUAUAGAAUUAGGCGGUGGUAAACUCUUAAUGACCUCUAUCUUAGCCCUGUCAACUUCGAUGCCCCUAUGAGAAGCAACAUGACCCAAAACGACACCCUGUUGUACCAUGAAAUGGCAUUUUUCCCAAUUGAGAAUUAGGUUGACUUCUUUACAUCUAUGGAGCACCCCUUCCGAAUUAUUAAGGCAAGCAUCAAAAGCUGUUCCAUAGACUGAGAAGUCAUCCAUAAAAACUUCCAUAGAACUCUCAAUAAGACCUGAGAAAAUUGCCAUCAUGCAUCGUUGAAAAGUGGCAGGAGCAUUACAUAAUCCAAAUGUCAUUCUUCGAUAAGCGAAGGUGCCAUAAGGGCAGGUAAAAGUAGUCUUUUCCUGAUCGUCAGGAUGAAUAGGAAUUUGGAAAAACUCUGAGUAUCCAUCUAGCCAACAGAAAAAGGAAUGCUUUGCCAAUCUUUCUAACAUUUAAUCAAUAAACAGGAGAGGGAAGUGGUAUUUUCAGGUGGCUUUAUUUAAUUUCCUAUAAUCAAUGCACAUUCGCCACCCUGUCACAGUUCUAGUGCGGAUUUGUUCACCCUUGUCAUUCUUGACAACGGUCAUACCUCCCUUCUUUGGAACCACUUGUACAGGACUAACCCACUUAUUAUCUGAGAUAUGGUAAAUUAUCCUUGCAUCAAGCAAUUUAAGAACCUCCUUUUUGACUACUUCCAUCAUAUUUGGAUUAAGCCUUCUUUGAGAUUCUAUAGAAGAUGUAUGGUCGUCCUCAAGAUUGAUCUUAUGCAUGUAGAAAGAUGGGUUAAUACCCUUAAUAUCAUCAAUAGUGUACCCAAUGUCAUUCCUGUAUUUUCUCAAAAUCACAAACAUUUGCUCAGUUUGCAUGUCAUUGAGUUCGGCAUUAACAAUAACAGGGUAUGUCUUAUUAGGACCCAUAAACACAUAUUUCAGGUUAAAGGGAAGGGGUGUUAAUUCUACCUCAGGAGGCGUAGUACUCUCCUUAGACUCCCUUGGUUUUAACACUUCCUUGAUAGGCUCAUCAGCUUCUAGCACUUGUGUCUCCUCCAAGAGCCUCUUGUACUCCCUUGUUUCCCAAUCCUAUUUAUCUGCACUCCCUAUUAAGAUUGUCUACAAUGAAUCAUCGAGUUGUAAAUCUGCGGCCUUAGCUUCCACUACUUCAUCUAGAGCAUCCAUGCUAUAAAUUGUUUCCUCCUUAGAAGGAAAACCCAUAGAACUUGUGAGCGAAUACUCCACCUUCUCAUCACCCACUUCAAAGGUGAUUUUCUCAUUCUUUAUGUCAAUAGUGGCCCCAGCAGUGGCCAAGAAGGGUCUUCCUAGAAUGAUAGGAACUUGCUCAUCUUCUUCCAUUUCCAUAACCACAAAAUCACAAAGGAUGAAGAAUUUCCCAACUCUAAGUGGCACAUCCUCAAGAAUACCCAAAGGAAAUUUCACUGAUCUGUCUACCAACUGUAAGGAGAUGCUCGUGGGUUUUAAUUCACCCAUCUGAAAGUUUCUUGCAAAUUGAUAGGGGCAUAAGACUGACACUUGCCCCUAUAUCACAUAAAGCCUUCUUUAUUUCGAUGUCACCUAGCUUGAUUGGAAUGGAAUAGCUCCCUGGAUCUCCUAGCUUCUUUGGAAGCUUGUUUUGCAAUAUAGCACUGCAUUCAGCUAUUAGUGAGAUUGUUGCACUGCAUUCAGCUAUUAGUGAGAUUGUUGCAUUCUCUUCGAUUUUCCUCUUGUUAGAGAGCAUGUCCUUCAGAAAUUUAGCAUAGGAGGGCAUCUCUGAGAUUGCAUCCAAGAAUGGGAUGUUGAUCUGCAACUUCUUUAGAAUGUCCAAGAAUUUCCCAUACUUCUUUUCUAGCUUUGCCUGUGCCAAUCGUUGUGGGAAAGGUACAAGUGGCUUGUAAGGUUUAAUGACAAUGGGCUCCUUCUCUUCAAUUUUCUUCUUUUCUAUCAUCUUCUCAGCUUCAACCAUCUCUUCAUCUACUGCAACUGCUUUCUUUUGAACUACCUUCGGUGGAAGGUCUUCUAGCUUUCUACCUUCGGUGGUUGCUCGGUGUUACUAGGAAAGUGACCCAGAACCUUUGAAGAUUGACCUACUUGUUGAGCAAGUUGGCUUAUCUGAUUCUCCGUGAGCUUGGUUUGAGCUUGAAUCUGUUGAACUGUAGUAGUAAGAAGACUAUUCUGUUUCAACUGCUUUUCCCAAUACUUGUCUUGUUUAGCCUGUGAGGCUGCAAAAGUUUCAACCAAAGCUUCUAGAUUGGACUUGGGUUGUGGUUGUGGUUGUAGUGGGGGAGGCUGUUGAUUGUAGUUUUGAUGAUUGAAGGGUGGUCUAUUUUGAAAACCUGGAGGAUGAUUGAAGUUGUUGCGAGAUGGUGGUGGUAGUGGUGGGUUCAACUGAUUUUGAGUGUUCUUGUAAGAGAAUGCUGGGUUUUGUUUCCAACCUUCAUUGUAAGUGUUGGAGUAGGGAUCAUAGGGUCUCCUUUGCUGGUUGUUGUUAUAGAGAGCGUUAGCUUGCUCCAUUAACAUCUCAGCAUAUUGACACUCACUUGAAAUGUGUCCAUGUACUCCACAUGUCUCACAAGAUGCUACCAUAGAUGGCCCUGGUCGAAGUUGAUCAACCUUAAGUGACAGAGCCUACACAGUACUAGUCAAGAGUCAUUGCAUCAACGUCAUGUUUACCCCCUUUUUUUGCACUGUUUCUCCCACCUGAGUGAAAGUUAUCAUUAGCAGCCAUCUUCUCAAGUAAUGCCUUAGCCUCAGUAGGGACCUUUUCAACAAAAUUACCACCCGACGCAGCGUCAAUGUAAAUCCUAUACUCAUGUGUCAACCCAUUAUAGAAUGUCUGAAUCAAUAGCCACUCUUGAAUUCCAUGAUGAGGGCACUUUCUCUGCAGACGCUUGAACUCAUACAAUGACUCAUCAUCUAGUUGACGAAGAGUGCUCAACUCGGUCCUUAGCCUUGCAGUUUUCUCUUGACCCAAGAAUUUGGCCAAAAAUGCCUUUACUAGCUUGUCCCAUGAAUCAAAAGUAUCGAUGCCUUCAUCUUUUAGCCAUUCCUUUGCCCUAUCCCUCAGAGAAAAAGGAAAAAAGCGAAGUCUAAUUGCAUCAUCACUUACAUUAUUAAUCUUAAAAGUGUCACACUUCUCUAGAAAACUAUCAAUAUGAUUAACAGGACAAUCAUUGACUCCCCCUGAAAAGGAAUCAUUGGAGAUGAACUUAAUAAACUGAGGUUUCAGUUCGAAGUGUGUUGCAGUAAUUAUAGGUCUAAGAAUGCUAGACAUCGCACCGGUAGUUGCAUCUGAUACACCAUACUCCCAAAGAGGUUUAGCUACCGGUGGUUCAGCCAUUGUUUCCUUUGCUUGUUCUUAUUCCUUCUCCUUUUACUUCCUUGCUUACGUACAGUAGCCUCGAUCUCAAGAUCAAUAGGGAUUAAAUCUCUUGAACCUGUUUGUCGAGUUUGCAUGCAAUAAGAAAGAAAACUAGAAACAAAAGAUCAGGAGCACAAGGAAUAAUAGCUGAAGCACUUAAACCUAAAGCUUAGCAAAAAUAAAUCAAAAUUAACUACUUUAAUAACGUCAGUCCCCUGCAACGGCGCCAAAAUUUGACAAGGUUGUACUAGACCUUCUAACUAUGUAGUCGGGCAAGUAAGGGUCAAAUCCCUAGAGACUGAAAUAGUAAAAACUAGCUAAUCUUGACUUUAAUUAAUGCUAAGUAAGUUACCAAAUCAACGAUUAAAGAUGAAUUAAUCUAUAAUGCAAAUAAUAAUAAUGAGAAUAAAUUCUAGGAUAAAAAGCACCUAGAGUUAAGUAUCCCCACUAGCACAAUUUACGCAAAGAUAAGUUCCUACCCCAAACUAAUUAAAUAAAUGUCCAUAAGGAAAGGUAAACCCUAUAAAAUACCAUAGAUCUCUCCCGAGUAUAAAUGGCUUCCUUAAUAUGCAAUCAAAACCUACUCCCGUGGAAUCAUGCAAAUUAAAGACAUUAAACUCAAUACUCUGACUUCCUAACAAUCCAUUAUACCUACUCCCGUGGAGAAUUUCAUAUCCUUAAUUGAAAUAUUCAAAUCCGUC
rnacentral:lncRNA from 1 species